rfam:Oryza brachyantha chromosome 7, whole genome shotgun sequence.
CCCCUUGAUGAUGAAGAAUUGGUGAUGUAUAUCUGUAAUGGCCUUGAUUUUGAGUACAAUUCUAUAGUUUCCUCUCUUGUAACCAGAUCAGAUCCGGUUACCCCUCCUGAAUUGUACUCCCAACUCUUAAGCUUUGAAA